GAUGAAGAACGCAGCGAAAUGCGAUAAGUAAUGUGAAUUGCAGAAUUCAGUGAAUCAUCGAAUCUUUGAACGCACAUUGCGCCCCCUGGUAUUCCGGGGGGCAUGCCUGUUCGAGCGUCAUUUCACCACUCAAGCCUCGCUUGGUAUUGGGCAACGCGGUCCGCCGCGUGCCUCAAAUCGUCCGGCUGGGUCUUCUGUCCCCUAAGCGUUGUGGAAACUAUUCGCUAAAGGGUGUUCGGGAGGCUACGCCGUAAAACAACCCCAUUUCUAAGGUUGACCUCGGAUCAGGUAGGGAUACCCGCUGAAUUUAAGCAUAUCAAUAAGCGGAGGA
rnacentral:misc_RNA from 1 species